rnacentral:lncRNA from 1 species
CUCUCUAUUAGGAACGUUUCAGUAAUAAUUUGAUGAAAAGUAUGCCAGUAAAAAAAGAAGACAACAACAAAAAAUCAGUCGCUGCUAAAAGCAAAAUGAAGUAUGAAAGUGGAAUAAAAUCUGUUGACGAAGAGACCAUUAUGUCUUUGCUUGCUGAAAAUUUAUCUAUAUGAAAAUCUAUGAGGGCUCAAAUAGAGAGAAUGAAUGCAAUUUUAAAAGAAUAUAAAUCAUAUUCAGCAGCUUCAGAAUAUUUAAGCAAAUACAAUGUUUCAUAAUCAUGAACUUAAUUAAACAUGGUAAAAAUUAUAUAUAUUUAAAAAAAAAAAAAGUAAUGAACUGCACAUAGCAUAAGUGAGUAGUUAGAAUUGUACAUUUGAAAUAAAAUAAAUUUGUAUCAUUUAUAUGAA